rnacentral:rRNA from 1 species
UACGUAGGGGGCAAGCGUUGUCCGGAUUUAUUGGGCGUAAAGAGCGUGUAGGCGGCCAGGUAGGUCUGCUGUGAAAACUCGAGGCUCAACCUCGAGACGUCGGCGGAAACCAUCUGGCUAGAGUCCGGAAGAGGAGAGUGGAAUCCUGGUGUAGCGGUGAAAUGCGCAGAUAUCAGGAAGAACACCCGUGGCGAAGGCGGCUCUCUGGGACGGUACUGACGCUGAGACGCGAAAGCGUGGGGAGCGAACAGG